AGUGCAAUUGCUGGAUUAUAUGGUAAGUGCCUGUUCAGUUUUGUAAGAAACCACCAAGCUAUUUUUCAGUCUGGUUGUACCAUUUUACAUUUCCACCAGCAAU
rnacentral:pre_miRNA from 1 species